rnacentral:lncRNA from 1 species
GUCCUGACCCUUGCCACACUCAUGUGUGGAUCAGCCCAGCCUGUUCCCACUGACCCUUCCCCUCUUUCUUCUCAGGGGACCUUGGGGGACAGAUGGGCCUGUUCAUUGGGGCUAGCAUCCUCACCUUGCUGGAGAUCCUUGACUACAUCUAUGAGGUCUCCUGGGAUCGACUCAAGAGGGUGUGGCGACGGCCCAAGACCCCACUUAGGACGUCCACUGGGGGCAUCUCCACUUUGGGGCUGCAGGAACUGAAGGAACAGAGUCCCUGUCCAAAUCGAGGCCGUGCUGAGGGUGGUGGGGCUAGCAACCUGCUUCCCAACCAUCACCACCCCCACGGCCCCCCAGGAAGCCUCUUUGAAGACUUUGCUUGCUAGGAUGGUGCUGUGUGGGGAAAGUACCCAUGAAACCCCACA